rnacentral:rRNA from 1 species
ACACCUAAACUCUCUUCAUUUAUCAAAUACACUAAAGAAAACACUCAACCCUACUAAGUACCCCCUACAAACAAUACUCCAAUUAACAACCGCAAGGGCACCCCAACACGUCACUAACAGAAGAGACAAAACCUCCUCCCUUUUGCACCAUGGAGAAGCAACACUCAACUAAUAACACUUAAUCUCCCGAAAGAUCACGAGCUACUAGCCCGUCAAAGUUAAUGUGUCAAUAUUAACCCAAUAAGAGCUGUUAGAGGCAACAUACCUUUCACGUGAUCUGAUAACUGGUUCCCCCUAAAAAGCAUCAAAGUGCUAGCUUACAGAUCAAAUCCACCAAGACCUCAUCUCUGUAAGACUUAAACUCCUGAGGACAAGCUCAGGAGUGACCUCAUAAAAUACCUUAACUCACUCAAGUUACCUGUAGGCCUAAAAACAGCCGACUAAAACACGUUCCAGUGCUUAACAACCCUCUUCACCCAUUAUCCAACCUUUAAAUUUUAGAUACAAGGAGACUCGAUACACAACACCCGUAACGAUAAACAGGCAUUCUAUUAGUAUUAGCAACAAAACUAACCCCACUUUAACCCAAGAAAAAAUGGGGAAACACCUCCCUCUGCCUAAACCAUACAAAGUUAACUCGGCAUACCCUAUUCUCGCCUGUUUACCAAAAACAUCGUCUUCCGCCCACAAAUAUAGAAGAUACUGCCUGCCCAAUGACCACUCACACUGGUUAAAUGGCCGCGUUAGCGUGAGCGUGCUAAGGUAGCGUAAUAAUUAGCCCCCUAAUUGGGGGCCAGUGAAAGGCAAAACGAGAAAAUUCUUUCCCUUGUAUGCCACAACAACUUUACAUUCGAGUGAAAAGUCCCGAAUAAUUAAGGAAGACAAAAAGACCCUGCGGAGCUUUACCUCAUCCCGCCAAAGUUAACACACUAAACUCCACGCUGAAAGGUUUGGUUGGGGCAACCUUGGAACAACCAAAGCUUCCAAUAAGACUACUUGCAAACCAUUUAUAACCUAUUACGGACCACAAAGAAGCUACCCCAGGGAUAACAGCGUAAUCUAUCUUUAGAGUACACAUCGAAAGCUGGGUUUGCGACCUCGAUGUUGGCUUAGGGAAACUGGGUUUGCGACCUCGAUGUUGGCUUAGGGAAAUUCACAUAAGCGCAGUCGCUAUGAGAGAAUAGUCUGUUCGACUAUUAUACCCUUACAUGAGCUGAGUUAAGACCGGCGCAAGCUAGGUUGGUUUCUAUCUCCCUAAUCCUUAACAAAAUUCCCGACUGUACGAAAGGACCCCGGGAUAUGCACACCUAAAAGCAAUUACUAAAUAAACUUCCUACGUCAACCACUCUUCAACUACCCAAC